UUUCGCAAUGCCCGAAAGGGUGACGAAGCGACGCCGCGUGUGGGAAGAAGGCCUUCGGGUUGUAAACCACUGUCGGGAGUUAGGAAAUGUAAGGGUGCUAAUAGUAUCCUUACUUGACUAAGGCUCCGGAGGAAGCCACGGCUAACUCUGUGCCAGCAGCCGCGGUAAUACAGAGGCGGCAAGCGUUGUUCGGAAUUAUUGGGCGUAAAGAGCACGUAGGCGGCCUUGUAAGUCAGUUGUGAAAGCCUUCUGCUUAACGGAAGAACAGCAGCUGAUACUGCAAGGCUAGAGUGCGGAAGGGGAGAGUGGAACUUCUGGUGGAGCGGUGAAAUGCGUAGAUAUCAGAAGGAACACCGGCGGCGAAGGCGACUCUCUGGUCCGUAACUGACGCUGAGUGUGCGAAAGCUAGGGGAGCAAACGGGAUUAGAUACCCCGGUAGUCCUAGCCGUAAACGAUGGGCACUAAGUAGAGGGGUU
rnacentral:rRNA from 1 species